rnacentral:rRNA from 1 species
GAGUUUGAUCCUGGCUCAGGAUGAACGCUAGCGGCAGGCUUAAUACAUGCAAGUCGAGGGGCAGCAGCUUUAUAGCAAUAUAGAGGCUGGCGACCGGCAAACGGGUGCGGAACACGUACACAACCUUCCUUGAAUAGGGGGAUAGCCCAUAGAAAUGUGGAUUAAUACCCCGUAAUAUAGCGGUGUGGCAUCACACUGUUAUUAUAGUUUCGGCGAUUCGAGAUGGGUGUGCGGCUGAUUAGGUAGUUGGCGGGGUAAAGGCCCACCAAGCCUUCGAUCAGUAGCUGAUGUGAGAGCAUGAUCAGCCACACGGGCACUGAGACACGGGCCCGACUCCUACGGGAGGCAGCAGUAAGGAAUAUUGGUCAAUGGACGCAAGUCUGAACCAGCCAUGCCGCGUGAAGGAUGAAGGUCCUCUGGAUUGUAAACUUCUUUUAUAGGGGGCGAAAAAAGGUCUUUCUAGAUCACUUGACAGUACCCUAUGAAUAAGCACCGGCUAACUCCGUGCCAGCAGCCGCGGUAAUACGGAGGGUGCAAGCGUUAUCCGGAUUCACUGGGUUUAAAGGGUGCGUAGGCGGGUAGGUAAGUCARAGGUGAAAAUCCUGGAGCUUAACUCCAGAAACUGCCUUUGAUACUAUCUAUCUUGAAAUAUGGUGGGAGGUAAGCGGAAUAUGUCAUGUAGCGGUGAAAAUGCAUAGAUAUKGACAUAGAACACCUAUUGCGAAAGGYRWCUUACUACGCCUUAUAUUGUCUCUGAUGCMCGAAAGCGYGGGAAYMAACAGGAUU